rnacentral:rRNA from 1 species
AUGGACGCGCUCGGCCCCGACAUCCACCACCUCUUCCCGCAGCUCCUCUCCGGCCACGACAACGCCAACAGACCUCAGCCGCCCUUCUUCCACCCGACUCCGACUCCGACUCCGACUCCUCCGCACGCGCGGGCCUCUAGCUACGUCGCCGCCGCCCACGGCCCGCUGGACGACUUCGUCUACGGCUUGGUGCCGGGCGCGGGGGAGGGCACGCUGGCGCCGGGGGAGGGCUCGCCGAUGCUUGACCACAGCGCGUUCCUGGAGAACGACCAGUUCGUGGACUGCUUGGAGGACCCGCUGGCGCUGAUGAGGAUGAGCGGCGACGAGUUGAGCGCCUUCUUGAGCGACGAGGCGGGCGUCAACUCGCUGCGCAUGCCGCCGGAUUUCCUGGUCAGAUCGCUGGCGGCGUACCAAACGGCCAUGGCCGACUCGCCGCCCGUGCCCCCCGCGGGCGUGCCGAGCCAGUCGUCCUCCGGUUCACCGGGUCUGGGCUGCGCCCAGGCGAGGGCUACUCACGACUCUCCGGCGGGCGACGUGGAGGAGCCGCUCACGGGGAUGAGCGCGCUCAUGAGCGACGAGGCGGGCGUCAACUCGCUGUCCAUGCCGCCGGAGUACCCGAUUAGAUCGCUGCUGGUGUACCAACCGGCCAUGUCCGACUCGCCGCCCGUGCACCCCGCGGGCGGACACAGCCAGUCGCCCUCCGGUUCGCCGGGUCUGGGCUGCGCCCAGGCCAGAGCCACUGACUCUCCGGACAGCGGCGCUUAUCAGCCGGUGCUGGACUACCCGCAGGCGCCACAAGACGCAUCCCUCGACGUGCCGCAGCAGGAGCCGGACAGCGAGACGGCGGAGGUGGCCCGGAUGGCUCACGUGGCGGCGCGGUGCGGCGACAAGCCGUCCACGGCGUGGUCCGUGGAGGAGGACCAGCUGCUGUUCCGAGGCCUUUCCCGGUUUGCCGGCCAAGACAGUGUCAUCAAGUGCCUCAACAUUGCAUCUGGGCUCGUGGAGAAGACCGCGCUUGAUGUCGCGUAUCGGAUCCGGUGGCUGUCAGACUUGGAGAAGAAGGAAGCUGCUAAGGAAGCACAGCUGGGGCAAGAAAAAUCUGCACUAGGAAAUGUUACCAAGGGAAAGGGAACCAAGGUUGCUAACAAGAAAAACAACAAACAUCCCCUGUCCAAAGAGACUCUAGACUCCAGGAGUGCUAAAGACAUUAUUCGGGAUAACAACAGGCUUAUGGAUAAAAUAGAAGAAAUCUUGAGAACAGGAGAGGUGAAUAACUGUCUAGACUACUUUUACUAUGUGAAGAUGAACAUGGAUGCUAUGCAGAACAAAGUAAAAGACUUGGCCACUGUCAUGGAAGGACUCGCGGUAGGCGAUGAAGAAUGGGAGGACGUCCUGAAGGAUCGCGACGCACCGCAGGCUGGAGAGAAUGCUGCCACACCGGCGCCAUGA